rnacentral:rRNA from 1 species
UACGAAGGGGGCUAGCGUUGUUCGGAAUUACUGGGCGUAAAAGCGCACGUAGGCGGAUAUUUAAGUCAGGGGUGAAAUCCCGGGGCUCAACCCCGGAACUGCCUUUGAUACUGGGUAUCUAGAGUCCAGAAGAGGUGAGUGGAAUUCCGAGUGUAGAGGUGAAAUUCGUAGAUAUUCGGAGGAACACCAGUGGCGAAGGCGGCUCACUGGUCUGGUACUGACGCUGAGGUGCGAAAGCGUGGGGAGCAAACAGG